UUGAAUAGUAUAGUUAUAACUAAGGAUAACUGAUAUCACAACGUUGCCUAGGCAACUUGUGGGUACAUUGAGGAAGAAUCUUCUUCUAAUUCUAAAUUCAACAUGCAAAUCUUUGCAAAUAAGAACCAAAAUUUUGAAGAAAAUAUUUGUGACAAAUUUCCAUGCGAAAACCAUUUCUCCACCAUUAAGUAAUAAAAUGGUAAACUAAAUCAUGGCACAACCGUGACAUAUAUCAAUAACUGUGACACAGAACAUUUUAAAUAACUGAGGCGGGGACAUGGGGUCAGAUGUGUAGUGAGUUCAAAGGUGGAGGUGGGUUCAAGGGCGAAGGAUUGGUCAAGGCUAAAGGUGUGGUGAAGGGUGGAGAUGUGAUCAAGGGUAGAGAGGGGUGAAGGGCAGAGGUGUGGUCAAGUUUGGUGGUGUACUCAAGGGUGGGCGACAGAAGGAGGUGUGGUUGAGGGUGGACAUGGGAUCAUGGGUGAAGGUGUGGUCAAGGAUGGAGGUGGGGUCAGGGGUGGCCUUGCGGUCAAGGAUGGAGAUGAGGUCAAGGGUAGAGUGGGGUCAAGGACGGAGGUGGAGUCAAGAAUGGUCAAGGCUGCAGGUGGAGUGGUCUAUGGAAGUAAAACAAAACAAACAUACAGUUAAACACUCCCUAGACAUGCUAAAUACAAUUGCAUCAUGUUGAGUUUUUUCAUAAUAACACUACAGAACUCUAACAUGAAAACACACAACUAAACAAAUGUACAGUCAUAAUGUUAACUGAUAUAUUGAGACAAUACAGCAGGUCAAAAUGCCGUAUUGUGCAAUAUUUUGGGGUCUGGAGCUGGUGGUGUUGAGGAUGACAGAGAGAUGCUUGUGUUGACACAAAGGUGUACAGCAGGGUAAAGCCUCCAUCUGAUCCGGAGUAUGCGUCAAUACUAUGGGGCAUGGAGAAGAUGGUAGUGAGGGUGACAGAGGGAGAUGCUUGUGUUGACACAAAGGUGUACAGCAGGUUAAAGCCUCACUGCAUCUGACCCGGAGUAUGCGUCAAUACUAUGGGGGAUGGAGAAGACGGUAGUGAGGAUGACAGAGGGAGAUGCUUGUGUUGACACAAAGGGGUACAGCAGGGUAAAGCCUCCAUCUGAUCCGGAGUAUGCGUCAAUACUAUGGGGCAUGGAGAAGAUGGUAGUGAGGGUGACAGAGGGAGAUGCUUGUGUUGACACAAAGGUGUACAGCAGGUUAAAGCCUCACUCCAUCUGACCCGGAGUAUGCUUCAA